rfam:Oryza sativa Japonica Group DNA, chromosome 7, cultivar: Nipponbare, complete sequence.
AAUAAGUACAGUUUUGCACUGUUUAUAUCCAACGUUUGACCGUUUAUCUUAUUUGAAAAUUUUGUAUGUUUACUACUUUUAUUGUUAUUAAAUGAUAAAACAUGAAUAGUACUUUAUGUGUGACUAUUUUUUUAAUUUUUUUUAUAAAUAUUUUAAAUAAGACGGACGAUCAAACGUUGGACACGGAUUAUCAUGGCUACACUUAAU